rnacentral:lncRNA from 1 species
UUCACACAUGCACAUACAGACACACAAUUAAUCAUUCCUAUUUCUUGGAUUCCCUAAAGUUCUAUUUAUCUUCCAAUACAGCAAUUAUCACAUUAUACUGUAUUCUUUCUGGCAUGCUCAUAUGUUUUUAUAAUUGUACUUGUGAACUUUUCCUUUGUAUCUUUUGCCAGUAAAGUGCCCAGCAUAUGUUGAGAAUUGUUUGUUAAAUGAAUAUUUGAAUAAAUGGCUAUUACACAUAUUUGCUAACAAGAUGGAACUCUGACUCACUCAGCAGGAUCAAGUCUCAUUAUCAUCAAGGAGCUGAUGCCAGUUUUGUUCCUACCUUUCUGCUCAUCCCUAAACCAAGUGGGUGGACCCUGGACUUCAGGAAGCAUUAGAUCUGUGGUCACCCACACUGGAAUCCACAGUAUUCCUCCAGGCUCUGUAGCUUCUGGCUAAUGAGGAUGUGUGGACAGGCUGGUGGGGGCAUGUCACCCACACUGGGCCUGGCAGAGCUGGCCCAGCAGCACUGCCCAAUAUAGCGGUCAGCUUAUCUCCAAGAGCAGCAAUGGCCUGGUGAGAAAGAGGAGUGGGCAGGCAUGGCUUUUGAGUCAUUUGACAAGUGCCUGGAAGCUUAUUGCCCCCGCAGCCCCCAAAUUGUGCUUCCUCUUUCCUGUCACAGUAUCCAAAAUUCCAUUAUCAUUCGUAACCCAUGCUUUUGGAUAUUUCAGAGAGGCCAAUUUGUGAGUGAUUUCUUAACUUGGUGUCUGUGGAGGAUUCCGGAAUAGUUGAGGGAGGCAGGGUUAGGUGAGGAGGAUAGAGAGAAAAAAAUGAGAGGGAGAUACAGACAGACUCUGCUUCUAUUCCAAUGGUGGCUUGUGCAGGAUAACACAUUCUAGAAUGCCCUCGGCCCUUCCACGGUUGUCCAGACAAUAUUGAGAAGCGCUCGGGGUCAGGACUCACCACACAAAUGCUUAAACACACGCUUUCUCUCCCAGCCAGAGCACCUGGAAACUCAAGGAUGACAGAAACGAGAGAAGGAGAAGGAGAGGACUGUCAAUUGGAUCAUCCACCCUGCCAAGACCACUUCUGGAGUUGCUGUUCUGAGCCACCUAGACGAACGCACAGGCCAGCCCCCGGAACCUGCUCUUCAUUUGCCUUCCAUGCCCAACUUGAACCAGUGAUUUGUUAUGCUUUUUCUUCUCGUUCAGUGCCCACUAUGGAACAAUGGCAGAAUGACAUGAUUGGAACGGAAUGUAGCAAUCAUCUUAUCUGACCGCACGGAUACCUGCCAGGAGAGGAAUGCCUCACUUCCUCGUGAUGAUUUUGAAGACUUUCUGAGAAGGCACUAAUAUUAUCCAGUUACCUCACAAUCACAAGGUGUACUGCGGUGACUGCAAACCCUGAGUGCCUUAUUUCAACAGGUGUCACAGAACAAGGGAAAAGAAAGAUUGGGAGGGGGGUAUGGGCUGGUAGAUGGGAAGAGACUGGAGGUUCUCUGGUUAAACUCUGAAGGUUAAACCCUGUAAGAUGGGAGCUAUGAUUUACUUGCCUGGAGGGCAAAAAGGGAUAAUACUUACAGGGGAAAUCUGGAAGCACUUUUCCCGGGGAGCCAGGUCAGAGUUCAUGCUAACGUGACAUUGGCUUCUGUAGCUAUGGUGGCCUUGAACUACACAGCACACAUCCAUACACAGCUUCUGUUUGUCCAGUGCAGUCUUGACUCUUGCCCAAGAAAAAUACCCAGGCUCUUGGACUUCACCUCUCUCUUCUGCCUUCUCUUCCUCCACUUUUCCAG